rnacentral:lncRNA from 1 species
AUGACUAUAAUGACCAUGCUGUGGUGUGUCUGAUGACAUUUUUGCUGCUGUGGUGUCUGGUGACAUUGUGUCUGUGGAUGUACUGCCUGCUCUGAUUUUUGCAGAGCUUCUCCAGAUGUGGUGAUGGGACAGCUGGACUCAUUCAGCAUGCUUUGACACCAGUGGCCCAGCAGAUUACAUGUGCAUCCUGUUUUCCUUUGUGGGAUGUCUGAUCUCAUCUGUUUUUUGUCACCGUGCAAGGACUUUGAAUGUCAGACUCUUUGGAACCGAAUAGCUGUUUGGUGGAGAGGGAGGCUCUUGUCUCCUUACCCUAAUCCAAAGGCUAUGGAUGCUUCUUUGGACUGUCCAUUGGCAUGUCUUUCAUUUGCGCUUAUACUCUUCAUCACCCUGACCAUGGCUGGGGCUGCUCACGGACUCUCAACAACCCAUGCUUUGCCUUUAGUUUAGUAACUGCUCAGUCAAAAAAAGGUCAAACAUUGUUUCCUCAACUUUCCUACCCUCUCUGCUACACUGAAACUGAAGGAUCAGGCACAGGUCUGCAUCAGCAACCUCUUCUGCAGCUGUUCCCAGAAGAUCAAAUAAAAUAAGAUAGUGGCAUGUG